rnacentral:rRNA from 1 species
GGGAGCUAAUCCGAUAAAGUCGUUCUCAGUUCGGAUUGUAGGCUGCAACUCGCCUACAUGAAGCCGGAAUCGCUAGUAAUCGCGGAUCAGCAUGCCGCGGUGAAUACGUUCCCGGGCCUUGUACACACCGCCCGUCACACCACGAGAGUUUGUAACACCCGAAGUCGGUGGGGUAACCUUUAUGGAGCCAGCCGCCGCAGGUGGGAUAGAUGAUUGGGGUGAAGUCGUAACAAGGUAGCCGUAUCGGAAGGUGCGGCUGGAUCACCUCCUUUCUAAGGA